CAAUUGGACGUGUAAUCAUGUUUACGCCAACCUCAUAGAGAGUGUGCAUUGAGUUAUCUCCUAAAUAUCGUGGCAGAAUAUUGUGGAUUUUUUUCAUUUUUGCUUCACUUUGACGGGUAUGUUGUGGUGUCCUUAAAGCCUAUAUCUGGUGUCCCUAACAAAAUGCGAACAUGGGAUGAAGAAAAUUGGAAUGGCAACUUGAAUGGCAUAGUGCAAGAGUUGUUCAGAGAAGAGGUGAAAGUGUGAAACAGGCAGGAGGAUCCGCUUAAAGUAAAUAGUAAAAAUGGUAUGAAUCAUGUUUUAUCAUAUUAUUUAUUCUGUAUUAUUGACAACUCAAGAAAUUGUGAUAAUUUGAUUUGUUUGAUUAUUCAUAUGAUUGUGUAUAUAUUCAUUACUAAUACUAAUUCAAAAGGAAAAAUAUAAUAAAACUGACGGAUCAAUAGACGGUGGCUACUUUGGUGAUUGUUCGUUGUCUUUGGCAGCUCAUCUACCGACUUCAAUGGUACCGCUUUGAUAGUCAAAAGGUAAUAUAUUCAAGUAUGUUGGCAUAAUGAAUAGUGAAGAUGGUGUUUUUCUAUGGAAGG